rnacentral:rRNA from 1 species
UACGUAGGGGGCUAGCGUUGUUCGGAAUUACUGGGCGUAAAGCGCGCGCAGGCGGUCCUUUAAGUCAGGGGUGAAAGCCCAGAGCUCAACUCUGGAACUGCCUUUGAAACUAGAGGACUUGGGUACGGGAGAGGUGAGUGGAAUUCCGAGUGUAGAGGUGAAAUUCGUAGAUAUUCGGAAGAACACCAGUGGCGAAGGCGGCUCACUGGCCCGUUACCGACGCUCAGGCGCGACAGCGUGGGGAGCAAACAGG